GGGGACCCCGGCGGCCAGCGAGUAGAGGAGCACGGGGGGCACGGCGCUGCUGUCCUCCGGGCCCGGGUAGGGUUUGCGGUAGGCGCUGUCGUGGCAGAAGAAGCCCUGCACGUUCACGGUGAACGUGUCCGUAUACUCGAAGUAGUACGCCAGCAUCACCGUCCCUGCCAUGAUCACCAUCUGGAAAUAGAGCAUGCUGCUGCUUCCUGAUGAAUUCACUCACUUCCAAUGACAGCAGAAGGAUUACUCACACUGAUAAAGGAAAUUGGCGGAAGCUACCCAGAAGGGCCACACCUCCAAAAGGUUUUUUUAAGUACAUGAAACAUUGAUGCACGUGCCCCGCCUGGCUUGGAAGUCCAGGACCAAGGUUCCAGCUGUCUGGCUGCAUCCACAUAUGGAGGAAGGCAGAAGUAAUGUAUUGGAAUCCAGGAAAAACUGCAAUCCUUGGAAUGUACUUUAAUCUAGCUCUUCAGACUUCCUCUGAUCCUGCUUACUGUAUUUCACUUGGGGAAUUAAGUUAUCUGAAUUCAGUGCAACAUUGCAAGUCUCUCCCUGUUUGUGUUUGGAAGUUGUAGUCUCUGAAUGAAUGUAGGAACACUAGGAUAAUCCCACAAAGUAGCAAUUCCAGAGGAAAAAAAAAUAGCCCCUCAUUUUCCUGGUUUGUACAAAACAAUUAUUUGAGCCAGAAGCCAUUUGACUGAAGAAGAAUUUAGAUUUUUUUAUCUUUUCUCAGAUGGGAAGAAUUGCUUAUCUUCUUGAAACAAAGCAUGAGUAAGAUAUCAAAUACAUUUCUCAAUUAAUGGAAAAUCUACUCUGGUUCUAACAAAAGAUUAACAAUUAUAAUGUUCAGUGUUGUAUGUUUUUAUUAUUUUAUUGUUUAUUUUUAUGUUCUCAGUAUGUUUUCUAGAAAAUAUGCUAAGCUGGUUAUCAUCUAUUAACCAGAUAACUUUUUCAAGCUGAAGUCAGAAUUUGUCAUGAAGAAACUAGUAAACAUCUGUUAGUGAUGUUAAAGAAAAACAUUCUGCAUCCGAUUUCUAGAUUGAAUUAGGUGAAAUUUAAAUUUUCUUCCAACUUUCAUAUGCUCUUGAAAGUAAAUAUAUCUAAAAUUUAUUCGAAGAAAACAUGUUUAGCAAAUAUAAAAACAUUGCCUUACAUUUACUUGUUUCUUUAGCAUUCACAUAUUACCUGCACAAACACUAGGCAGAAGCUGCUAAUUGCUCACCUGAAUGUCAGAAUUGUGAUUUUGUUGGGUUAGGCAAUGUGCCCAUCUUGAAAAUUACAUUACCCCAUUUCUGAUGCUGUUAGGCCUUUUCCCCUCCUCCUAGAUGGAGAAGCCAACUUGUGACUAAAUAAGCUCAAAGUAAGAAUGCAGGAAACAGUAAAAGAAACCUGGGUUCAGGGAGGAUUCAUGGAAUUUCUGUACCCACCCUGGACUACCAACUUCUGGUACUGUCAUGUGAAAAAUAGCAAAUUCCUUAUUUGCUUAAGCCACUUUUGUGUGUGUGUGUGCGCUAUUACUUGCAGCCAGAAGCAAUCCUAGCUUUUUCACACUGUACAUAAAAAAUAUAUUAUAUAUAUUUCUCCCCUAUGCCGUUUUAAAAAUACUGAAGAGCUAAUAGAGAGUAAGGAUUAAUUACUAAGCCAAAAUUGAAAAAGAAAACAAGAACCUGGAGAGAUAGUUGAGCACAGAAGCUACUUUUGGUCUUAAGGCAUUUGUUAAUACUGGAAAUUCAGAACCUACGUCUUGGUUGCUUGUAGGGCAACAGUGACAGAAGCCCAGAGCAGGCAACAAGUGGGGCUUACCCCCCGUAGUGAGCUAGGACCAUGGUAGGUUACAUCCUCAGGGUAAAAGUGAACCAGAAAUAGUAUAGCCCUUUCAAGGAAUUGCAGCCCCUUUUCAAGUUGUCUAAUCAGGAAAUCUCAACUUGACUUAAAAUGAUUUCAGGCUGAUAAUCCUACCAGUCACCCAGCAGGAGCAACUGCAAAACUACUAUGUCAGAACUGACCUUAACAUAAACUCCUCAACACAUUGAAAAACAACUUUUCAAUUAUAAUUACCAACAUGUUUAAAAACAGUCAAGCCUACAAAAGUUGAUGGUGACAACCAGCAGAGACAAAGACAAAACAAAGAUCCACAGGAUCUCAUAUAAUGGAAGUAUUGGAGACAAGUUAUAAAACAUCUGUAUUUUGAAUAUGUACUGGGCAAUAAGAGUGAAACUCCAUCUCAAAAAAAAAAAAAGAAAAGAAGAUAGUAUAAAGCUUAAAAUGAGGGGGAGAAACUGUCAUUCUCAAACAACAUGAAGAAAACUACAGAUAAAUCAUGAGGAUUAAUGACAGAGUCUAACAAUGUUUCUAUAUACAAAAUCAAUAAACAGAUGUAACCCAUUUU
ensembl:lncRNA PLPPR5-AS1 PLPPR5 antisense RNA 1